GUUUACAUGGUGAGAACUUGUGGUGAGAACUUGUGGUUAUGGUGAGAACUUGUGGUGAGAACUUGUGGUUUACAUGGUGAGAACUUGUGGUUUUAUAUGGUGAGAACUUAGUGUGCUGAGAGUUUCAUUGUAAUGUUGCGAACUUAGAUGUGUAUUUAUUCUUAGUGUCUUGUACGCAUCAAAAAAAAAACAUUCAAUGAAACAGUGAUAUUUUUGGAGAAAACUUCUUGUGCAAACAAAUCCCAGCUUUGUGGUCAUUAUUCAAUCUGUGUGAUUUUUGAUUGUGCAUACUUUGUGUAUUCAUGGUUCUCAUCUUCUACACCUUCUAUACGAGCUCUACGUUGUAGUACGAGGCACGUGGUGGUUUCCGCACAUCGCGUGUGUGUUCGAUCGGUCCGCUUCGUGUCUUCGUUGAAGGAAGACGACCUUGCAAAACAUGUUCAAUCAUUGUUGCUACAAGGUCAGAAACGCCGCCUGUUGGGAACCUUGUUGCCUCAAGCAUGCAUUCAGGCUCACUUAUUUUAUUUUGCUCUGUAAACGUACUUCUUUGCUUUAUACAUGAAGAGGCCUAAUUGUUUUUGAGUAACAUCUUUAGGUAUUCUACAUAUUUGAAUGGUUUCAUUUAUAGAUUUGUUUUAGUUGUUCGGUAUUUGAGUAUUCUAAGCACAAGUAAGUUGUUAUUUUUCACUUUA